CCUGUGGAGCGUUACACCAAACGUGAGUUAGCUUUAGGCAAAAGCGGACGCGUUGAAGCAGGAA
rnacentral:sRNA from 12 species